GUGAAUCAUCGAAUCUUUGAACGCAAAUUGCGCUUUUUGGCAUCCCGGGAAGCAUGCCUGUUUGAGGGUCAGUAUAAAUAAAAAAUCGGUUUGGGUACAAAGUGUGACGUUUUCGGAGCUUGGGCUAUCUUAACAUGUUUGGUUAAGAGGCUUAAAAUUUACCGUCUUUGCGCAUUUUUU
rnacentral:misc_RNA from 1 species